rnacentral:rRNA from 1 species
CGGAGGAUCCAAGCGUUAUCCGGAAUCAUUGGGUUUAAAGGGUCCGUAGGCGGUUUUAUAAGUCAGUGGUGAAAUCUGGUCGCUCAACGAUCAAACGGCCAUUGAUACUGUAGAACGUGAAUUACUUGGAAGUAACUAGAAUAUGUAGUGUAGCGGUGAAAUGCUUAGAGAUUACAUGGAAUACCAAUUGCGAAGGCAGGUUACUACAAGUGGAUUGACGCUGAUGGACGAAAGCGUGGGGAGCGAACAGGAUUAGAUACCCUGGUAGUCCACGCCGUAAACGAUGGAUACUAGCUGUUCGGAGCAAUCUGAGUGGCUAAGCGAAAGUGAUAAGUAUCCCACCUGGGGAGUACGAACGCAAGUUUG